rnacentral:tRNA from 1 species
GGAGGGGUCGCAUAGUGGCCUAGUGCGCACGCUUGGAGAGCGUGUAAUCCGAAAGGAUUCGCGGGUUCGAAUCCCGCCCCCUCCGCCA